GCCAGACUCCUACGGGAGGCAGCAGUGGGGGACAUUGCACAAUGGGGGGAAACCCUGAUGCAGCGACGCCGCGUGUGGGAAGACGGUCCUCUGGAUUGUAAACCACUGUCCCCAGGGACGAAGAUGACGGUACCUGGGGAGGAAGCUCCGGCUAACUACGUGCCAGCAGCCGCGGUAAUACGUAGGGAGCGAGCGUUGUCCGGAAUUACUGGGUGUAAAGGGAGCGUAGGCGGGACUGCAAGUUGGGUGUCAAAUCUACCGGCUCAACCGGUAGCCGCACUCAAAACUGCAGUUCUUGAGUGAAGUAGAGGCAGGCGGAAUUCCUAGUGUAGCGGUGAAAUGCGUAGAUAUUAGGAGGAACACCAGUGGCGAAGGCGGUCUGCUGGACAGCAACUGACGGUGAGGCGCGAAAGCGUGGGGAGCAAACAGGAUUAGAUACCCGCGUAC
rnacentral:rRNA from 1 species